UACGUAGGGUGCAAGCGUUAAUCGGAAUUACUGGGCGUAAAGCGUGCGCAGGCGGCUUUGCAAGACAGAUGUGAAAUCCCCGGGCUUAACCUGGGAACUGCAUUUGUGACUGCAUAGCUGGAGUGCGGCAGAGGGGGAUGGAAUUCCGCGUGUAGCAGUGAAAUGCGUAGAUAUGCGGAGGAACACCGAUGGCGAAGGCAAUCCCCUGGGCCUGCACUGACGCUCAUGCACGAAAGCGUGGGGAGCAAACAGG
rnacentral:rRNA from 1 species